rnacentral:rRNA from 1 species
GAUCCUGGCUCAGAUUGAACGCUGGCGGCAGGCCUAACACAUGCAAGUCGGGCGGUAACAGGGGGAAGCUUGCUUCUCUGCUGACGAGCGGCGGACGGGUGAGUAAUGUAUGGGGAUCUGCCUGAUGGCGGGGGGAUAACUACUGGAAACGGUAGCUAAUACCGCAUAAUGUCUUCGGACCAAAGCGGGGGACCUCCGGGCCUCGCGCCAUCAGAUGAACCCCAUAUGGGAUUAGCUAGUAGGUAAGG